rnacentral:rRNA from 1 species
AUAUUUCGAACCGCAUGGUUCGAUAGUGAAAGAUGGUUUUGCUAUCACUUAUAGAUGGACCCGCGCCGUAUUAGCUAGUUGGUAAGGUAACGGCUUACCAAGGCGACGAUACGUAGCCGACCUGAGAGGGUGAUCGGCCACACUGGAACUGAGACACGGUCCAGACUCCUACGGGAGGCAGCAGUAGGGAAUCUUCCGCAAUGGGCGAAAGCCUGACGGAGCAACGCCGCGUGAGUGAUGAAGGUCUUCGGAUCGUAAAACUCUGUUAUUAGGGAAGAACAUACGUGUAAGUAACUAUGCACGUCUUGACGGUACCUAAUCAGAAAGCCACGGCUAACUACGUGCCAGCAGCCGCGGUAAUACGUAGGUGGCAAGCGUUAUCCGGAAUUAUUGGGCGUAAAGCGCGCGUAGGCGGUUUUUUAAGUCUGAUGUGAAAGCCCACGGCUCAACCGUGGAGGGUCAUUGGAAACUGGAAAACUUGAGUGCAGAAGAAGAAAGUGGAAUUCCAUGUGUAGCGGUGAAAUGCGCAGAGAUAUGGAGGAACACCAGUGGCGAAAGCGACUUUCUGGUCUGUAACUGACGCUUAUGUGCGAAAGCGUGGGGAUCAAACAGGAUUAGAUACCCUGGUAGUCCACGCCGUAAACGAUGAGUGCUAAAUGUUAAGGGGGUUUCUCCCCCUUAUUGCUGCAGCUAACGCAUUAAACACUCUCCCUGGGGAGUACAACCGCAAGGUUGAAACUCACACGAAUUGACGGGGGACCCCCCCAAACGGUGGAGCAUGUGGUGUUAUUUCUAAGCAACGCGGAGGAACCUUAUCAAAUCUUGACGUCGUUUGACAACUCUACAGAUAGAGCCUUCCUCUUCCUCGGACGAAGUAACAAGUUGAUGGGUGGGUGGUCG